UACGGGGGGUGCGAGCGUUGUUCGGAAUUAUUGGGCGUAAAGAGCGUGUAGGCGGCCGAAUAAGUCAGAUGUGAAAUCCCUGGGCUUAACCCAGGACGUGCAUUUGAAACUAUUCGGCUGGAGUAGGGGAGAGGAAAGUGGAAUUCCUGGUGUAGAGGUGAAAUUCGUAGAUAUCAGGAGGAACACCGGUGGCGAAGGCGACUUUCUGGCCCUAUACUGACGCUGAGACGCGAGAGCGUGGGUAGCAAACAGGAUUAGAUACCCUGGUAGUCCACGCUGUAAACGAUGUUCACUAGGUGUUGGGGGUAUUGACCCUCUCAGUGCCGCAGCUAACGCAUUAAGUGAACCGCCUGGGGAGUACGGUCGCAAGAUUAAA
rnacentral:rRNA from 1 species